rnacentral:rRNA from 1 species
UCCGUAGGUGAACCUGCGGAAGGAUCAUUACCGAGUGAGGGCCCUCUGGGUCCAACCUCCCACCCGUGUUUAUCGUACCUUGUUGCUUCGGCGGGCCCGCCUCACGGCCGCCGGGGGGCAUCCGCCCCCGGGCCCGCGCCCGCCGAAGACACACAAACGAACUCUUGUCUGAAGAUUGCAGUCUGAGUACUUGACUAAAUCAGUUAAAACUUUCAACAACGGAUCUCUUGGUUCCGGCAUCGAUGAAGAACGCAGCGAAAUGCGAUAAGUAAUGUGAAUUGCAGAAUUCAGUGAAUCAUCGAGUCUUUGAACGCACAUUGCGCCCCCUGGUAUUCCGGGGGGCAUGCCUGUCCGAGCGUCAUUGCUGCCCUCAAGCACGGCUUGUGUGUUGGGCUCUCGCCCCCCGCUUCCGGGGGGCGGGCCCGAAAGGCAGCGGCGGCACCGCGUCCGGUCCUCGAGCGUAUGGGGCUUCGUCACCCGCUCUGUAGGCCCGGCCGGCGCCCGCCGGCGAACACCAUCAAUCUUAACCAGGUUGACCUCGAAUCAGGUAGGGAUACCCGCUGAACUUAAGCAUAUCAAUAAGCGGAGGA